CCAAUAGCGUAUAUUAAAGUUGUUGCAGUUAAAAAGCUCGUAGUUGAAUUUCGGGAUCAAAUUGUUGGUCGUGCCUCGGUACGCACUGGUAUUAUUGGUUCCUACCUUCUGAAGAACCGCGAUGUCAUUAAUUUGGUGUCGUGGGGAAUCAGGACUGUUACUUUGAAAAAAUUAGAGUGUUUAAAGCAGGCUUACGCUUGAAUACAUUAGCAUGGAAUAAUGAAAUAGGACGUUUGAUUCUAUUUUGUUGGUUUCUAGGAUUGACGUAAUGAUUAAUAGGGAUAGUUGGGGGAAUUAGUAUUCAAUUGUCAGAGGUGAAAUUCUUGGAUUUAUUGAAGACUAACUACUGCGAAAGCAUUUGCCAAGGAUGUUUUCAUUAAUCAAGAACGAAAGUUAGGGGAUCGAAGACGAUCAGAUACCGUCGUAGUCUUAACCAUAAACUAUGCCGACUAGGGAUCGGAUGAUGUUAAUUUUUUAAUGACUCAUUCGGCGCCUUACG
rnacentral:misc_RNA from 1 species